UUGAACGCUGGCGGCUGCUUAACACAUGCAAGUCGAACGGAGUGGCGAACGGGUGAGUAACGCGUGAGCAACCUGCCUAUGACAGUGGGAUAGCCUCGGGAAACCGGGAUUAAUACCGCAUAGUCAUAGAUGGGCUCGCGUCUGAUUAGCUAGUUGGUGAGAUAACAGCCCACCAAGGCGACGAUAAGUAGCCGGUCUGAGAGGAUGAACGGCCACAUUGGAACUGAGACACGGUCCAAACUCCUACGGGAUGCAGCAGUGGGGAAUAUUGCAAAAUGGGGGAAACCCUGAUGGAGCGACGCCGCGUGAACGAAGAAGGUAUUCGUAUCGUAAAGUUCUGUCCUAUGGGAAGCAGUACCAUAGAAGAAAGCUCCGGCUAAAUACGUGCCAGCAGCCGCGGUAAUUC
rnacentral:rRNA from 1 species